GUUGCAUGGCCGAGAAGCCCACAUACGUAGGUCUCACGCCUCUGUGUGAAGGGGCUUUUGAGUCAACGCGACUGUGACAGUCUGAAGCUCCCGUUCCUGUCCACAGCCUCUAGCUUUUAGUCCCUAGUCAGUAUCAGGUUUAAUGAGGUCAGGCUAACUGAGUUGCUAUUGAUUGCCACUAACUGUGGAACAGCCUGCGAUAAAGUUCUGACUCAGGGGGACAGUGAAUUUUGGCUGCCGUUGUCUUCCACUGUGAGGGUGGACUUCAGUGUCCAUCACCUGAGGAGAUUCACUCUGCUGCCCCAAAGCUCGGAUGCUGCAACCAAAUAAUUUAUACUCGCGGAGUUUCUAGACCACAGCUCUUGCUUCUCUGUCACACAGGAGAUACCACGGAGACACUGAACUCUUCAGUGUGUAGGCAGCGGUCGAUGCUGGGAUGUCUUCUUCAGUCACUUCUCUGCAUCAUCAUCAUCAUCAUCAUCAUCAUCAUCAUCAUCAUCAUCAUUAUUUGGUGACUCCAUCAUUCAAGAAGCUGUCCAAGCUGGAAAGCAAGGAAUCCAUCCUGGGCUUCCCACUCACUCCACAUCCAACCAGUACCACUGGAUGCCGAAGUCACGCCUUUUCUUUUACACAAACAAACAAAAACAGCCUAGGACCACCUGCCCAGGGAGAGUACCACCUCUAGUGGGCUGUGGAUCCCACAUCAAUCAAAAAUCAACACAGUUCCUCACAGACAUGGACACAGGACAGUCUUAUCUGGACAAUCACCCAAUUGAGACUCCCUCAGAUGGCUAUGGGUUAUGUUAACAGGAGACGGUAACCAGGGCAGUGUGUGUGCAUGUGUGUAUAUGUGCAUGUAGAGACCCAAGGUUGAUGUUGGGAUCAGUCCUAAGUCCACCGAUAUGGCAAGACUCGCUGGGCAGCUUGCUCUGGCAAGUUUCCCCUUCUGAGACUGGAAUUACAGCUGGGCUGCCCUACUCAUCCAACCUUUCCUGGAUUCUGAGCGCCUCAACUCCGGUUCUCACUCUUAGGCAGCAAGGGCUUUAUCCACGAAGGCAUUUCUCCAUCGCCAGACCCGGGGUUUCAUCAAAAAUGCUUGCAGAGACUGGGGAGACAGCUCAGGGACUAAGAGCGCUUUCUGGGCAAACAUGAAGACCUUAACUCAGACUCCCAGCACCCCUAACCCCAGCUCCGUGGUGAGCAGGUGUGACCUCAGAGACAGGAGGACUGUCGGAGUCUGCUGGGGUCCAGU